UACGGCCGUAUCAUGCUGAAACACCUGUUCUCGUACGAUCACCGAAGUUAAGCAACGUCGACACUAGUCAGUACCUAAAUAGGUGACAGUUUGGGAAUACCAGAUGCUGUAAG